UCCAGGCGAGGUGUGCAGUGAAAUUGUCAACACUCUUUAAGAGGCCCAGCUGGAGGCUGCCUAGACCCUGUGAUCUCUGGCCUCCGAUUGCCUUUUUUUUUUCCCUCUUCUUCCUUCCUGAAGCACUAACAUCAACCACAGGUGGUAAGUGGCAGCCAAUUAUGUUCUCGCUUUCAAAAUUAAUAGCAUUAAGCAGCCUGAAAGUCUCACAGCCUUGGCCUGCGUCUGUUAAGUAUUAGGUCAUUGCUGUGCUCACCCUUUCCCACUAGGAACACAUUAAAUUCGGCUGUCUCAGAGUGGGAUACCUGGAGAGUUGGCACCCGCUGUGUGAAGAGUUCUUUUGCUGGGGUCAUCUGCUUCCCAGGCCUGCUGGGGCCGGGAAUGGGCAUAGGCCCAUGUGACUGGUGGCACACAGCUGUGCUCACUUCGCCUGUUUCUGCCUUGGGAUUCCUGAGACAAAGAAAUUCUACUUUUUAGAAAAGGGGCACCGAAGAAGGAACCUUGAGCCCCAUGCAUGCUGGGUAAGUACAUAGAACAGAGCUACAACAGAGCUACAUAGUCUUAUUUAUUAUUUAUUUAAUUUUUCAUAUUGUAAUAUAAUUGCAUAAUUUCCCCUUCACUUUUCCUCCCUUCAAACCCUC
rnacentral:lncRNA from 1 species